rnacentral:rRNA from 1 species
UGGGGAAUAUUGGACAAUGGGCGAAAGCCUGAUCCAGCCAUGCCGCGUGUGUGAAGAAGGUCUUCGGAUUGUAAAGCACUUUAAGUUGGGAGGAAGGGCAGUAAGCGAAUACCUUGCUGUUUUGACGUUACCGACAGAAUAAGCACCGGCUAACUCUGUGCCAGCAGCCGCGGUAAUACAGAGGGUGCAAGCGUUAAUCGGAAUUACUGGGCGUAAAGCGCGCGUAGGUGGUUCGUUAAGUUGAAUGUGAAAGCCCCGGGCUCAACCUGGGAACUGCAUCCAAAACUGGCGAGCUAGAGUAGGGCAGAGGGUGGUGGAAUUUCCUGUGUAGCGGUGAAAUGCGUAGAUAUUGGAAGGAACACCAGUGGCGAAGGCGACCACCUGGGCUCAUACUGACACUGAGGUGCGAAAGCGUGGGGAGCAAACAGG